AAUCUAAAUGUGAAUAACUAUACUCCAAUAUAUCUUUGAUAUUUUGACCACUAAUUGUCAUAUCCAUUGGCUUAUCUGGAUAUGGGUAU
rnacentral:tRNA from 1 species